rnacentral:rRNA from 1 species
GAUGAACGCUGGCGGCGUGCCUAAUACAUGCAAGUCGAGCGAACGGACGAGAAGCUUGCUUCUCUGAUGUUAGCGGCGGACGGGUGAGUAACACGUGGUUAACCUACCUAUAAGACUGGGAUAACUUCGGGAAACCGGAGCUAAUACCGGAUAAUAUUUUGAACCGCAUGGUUCAAAAGUGAAAGACGGUCUUGCUGUCACUUAUAGAUGGAUCCGCGCUGCAUUAGCUAGUUGGUAAGGUAACGGCUUACCAAGGCAACGAUGCAUAGCCGACCUGAGAGGGUGAUCGGCCACACUGGAACUGAGACACGGUCCAGACUCCUACGGGAGGCAGCAGUAGGGAAGCUUCCGCAAUGGGCGAAAGCCUGACGGAGCAACGCCGCGUGAGUGAUGAAGGUCUUCGGAUCGUAAAACUCUGUUAUUAGGGAAGAACAUAUGUGUAAGUAACUGUGCACAUCUUGACGGUACCUAAUCAGAAAGCCACGGCUAACUACGUG